rnacentral:rRNA from 1 species
AUUGAACGCUGGCGGCAGGCCUAACACAUGCAAGUCGAACGGAGUGGCGAACGGGUGAGUAACACGUGGGUGACCUGCCCUGCACUUCGGGCUAAGCCUGGGAAACUGGGUCUAAUACCGGAUAGUGUGGGAUGGGCCCGCGGCCUAUCAGCUUGUUGGUGGGGUACUGGCCUACCGAGGCGGCGACGGGGAGCCGGCCUGAGGGGGGGGACGGCCACAUGGGGCCGGAGACACGGCCCAGACUCCUACUGGCGGCAGCAGGGGGGAAGAUUGCACACUGGGCGGAAGCCUGAUGCAGCGACGCCGGGUGGGGGAAGACGGCCUUCGGGUUGUAAACUCCUUUCACCAUCGACGCGGUAGAUGGAGAAGAAGCACCGGCUAACUACGUGCCAGCAGCCGCGGUAAUAC